GACGAACGCUGGCGGCGUGCCUAAUACAUGCAAGUCGAACGCACUCUCGUUUAGAUUGAAGGAGCUUGCUCCUGAUUGAUAAACAUUUGAGUGAGUGGCGGACGGGUGAGUAACACGUGGGUAACCUGCCCUAAAGUGGGGGAUAACAUUUGGAAACAGAUGCUAAUACCGCAUAAAACCUAACACCGCAUGGUGUAGGGUUGAAAGAUGGUUUCGGCUAUCACUUUAGGAUGGACCCGCGGUGCAUUAGUUAGUUGGUGAGGUAAAGGCUCACCAAGACCGUGAUGCAUAGCCGACCUGAGAGGGUAAUCGGCCACACUGGGACUGAGACACGGGCCCAGACUCCUACGGGAGCAGCAGUAGGGAAUCUUCCACAAUGGACGAAAGUCUGAUGGAGCAACGCCGCGUGAGUGAAGAAGGUUUCGGAUCGUAAAACUCUAGUUGUUAGGAGAAGGAAUGUAUCU
rnacentral:rRNA from 1 species